rnacentral:misc_RNA from 1 species
AAAGAUUUUCUUUUGGUUCCUGUAUCGGUUUUGGUAUGUGUGAUUAGAUGAAUAUAGUGUUGUAAAUGAUUCUGUUUUGGGAAAGCGUGACUUGGAGAGUAGAAAAACUUAUCUUUAUGGCGAUAGAAGAAGUUUGUUUAUGAAUUUUAGAUUUUUAUUCAUGUUUCCUUGAUUCUGGCACUAUAAAAUUAGGAGGGUUAAGCAGAUGUUUAGGUUUAACUGUGCUUGUUGUUGGGGGUAUACCCUUUUUUGUUUUUGUAUAUGUGGUUAAACCCCACAUUGACGUUCUCAUUUGAGCUUAUUCUGGCAAUAUGUCGUUUCUGGCUGAACUUUAUAGU